rnacentral:rRNA from 1 species
AACGUAGGAGGCGAGCGUUAUCCGGAGUUACUGGGCGUAAAGCGCGUGUAGGUGGUUGGAUACGUCUGCUGUGAAAUGUCCCGGCUUAACCGGGAGGGUGCGGCAGAUACGGUCUGACUUGAGGGCGACAGAGGAGCGUAGAAUUCCGGGUGUAGUGGUGAAAUUCGUAGAUAUUCGGAAGAACACCAGUGGCGAAGGCGGCUCACUGGUCCGGUACUGACGCUGAGGUGCGAAAGCGUGGGGAGCAAUCAGG